AGGGCAUACGGUGGAUGCCUUGGUACCAACAGCCGAAGAAGGACGUGGCAAGCUGCGAGAAGCUGCGGCGAGGCGCAAGCGGCCUUUGACCCGCAGAUGUCCGAAUGGGGCAACCCACCUGGAGUAGUCCAGGUAUCCCGUAAGGGAAGGAACCCGGAGAAGUGAAACAUCUCAGUAUCCGGAGGAAGAGAAAUCGAAGAGAUUCCCUAAGUAGUGGUGAGCGAACGGGGAAGAGCCUAAACCAUAUACAUGUAAGGCUGCGGUCGUUGUGUAUAUGGUGUAGAGGGGCUUUUCAUGCAUAGUCCGCAGGCUAGGCACGGAGUUAUCAAGAUACUUUUUAGCAGAACUGUGUUGGGAAAGCAGGCCAUAGACGGUGAGAGCCCGGUAUGCGACAGAGAGUAUCCUCCGAGAAGAGUUCCCGAGUAGGCCGGAGCACGUGGAAUUCCGGUUGAAUCAGGGUGGACCAUCAUCCAAGGCUAAAUACUGUUGGUGACCGAUAGUGGAUGAGUACCGAGAGGGAAGGGUGAAAAGCACCCCUGGCGGGGAGUGAAAUAGACCUGAACCCGUAUGCCUACAAGCAAUCGGAGCAAGAGAUGCCGCGAGGCAUUGAAUGUGACGGUGUGCCUUUUGUAAAAUGAGCCGGCGAGUUAUUAGACGUAGCGAGGUUAAGGUGCGUAUGUGCACUGGAGCCGUAGGGAAACCGAGUCUGAAUAGGGCGCAAGUUUCGUUUAAUAGACCCGAAGCCGCACGAUCUAUCCAUGGCCAGGUUGAAGUCCGGGUGAAGCCGGAUGGAGGACCGAACCAGUUUCUGUUGAAAAAGAUUUGGAUGAGCUGUGGAUCGGAGUGAAAAGCUAAUCGAGUGCGGUGAUAGCUGGUUCUCCCCGAUAUGCAUUGAGGUGCAGCCUUACGGAAUUGAGAUAUGGGGGUAGAGCACUGGAUGGACGCGGGGGACUGGGGUCCUACCAAAUUCAACCAAACUUCGAAUACCAUAUUUUGUACCGUAGGAGUGAGACUACGGGUGAGAAGGUCCGUGGUCGUGAGGGAAACAGCCCAGACCGUCAGCUAAGGUCCCAAAGCGUAUGCUAAGUGUGGCAAGGAUGUGAGAGUGCCUGGACAGCCAGGAGGUUGGCUUAGAAGCAGCCACCCUUUAAAGAGUGCGUAACAGCUCACUGGUCGAGGACUUUUGCGCCGAGAAUGUAGGGGGCUAAGCAUACUGCCGAAGCUGCGGGAUAUGUGCAAGAGUGUAUAUAUCGGUAGGGGAGCGUUCCAUACGGGGCGAAGCAGAGCCGCGAGGUCAUGUGGACUGUAUGGAAGUGAGAAUGCUGGCAUGAGUAACGCGAAGUGCGUGAGAAACGUACUCACCGGAAGCCCAAGGGUUCCUGGGGAAGGUUCAUCCGCCCAGGGUUAGGCGGGACCUAAGGCGAGGCCGAGAGGCGUAGUCGAUGGAUAGCAGGUAGAUAUUCCUGUCCCAGCCAAUGAGCGUUAAUACCGAAGGGGUGACACAGAAAGCUAGGUGAUCCGGGUGAUGGAAGUCCCGGUCCAAGGGUGUAGGGAGUUUCCGCAGGCAAAUCCGCGGGAAUAAUUCUGAGACCUGAUGGGGAGGCCCUACGGGGUCGAAGUCAUUGAAGCUCGGCUGUCGAGAAAAGCCUCUAGGGAGUUUGUUGGUUGCUCGUACCCGAAACCGACACAGGUGGGCUAGCUGAGGAAGCUAAGGUGAGCGGGAAAACCCUCGUUAAGGAACUCUGCAAGUUGACCCCGUAACUUCGGGAGAAGGGGUGCCACUCUGGUGAAAUAUAAUCAUAUGGAGCUAAGGGUGGUCGCAGAAACCAGGCUCAGGCGACUGUUUACUAAAAACACAGGUCUCUGCAUAAGGCGUAAGCCGAAGUAUAGGGACUGACACCUGCCCGGUGCUGGAAGGUUAAAUGGAGAGGUUAGCGUAAGCGAAGCCUUGAUAUGAAGCCCCAGUAAACGGCGGCCGUAACUAUAACGGUCCUAAGGUAGCGAAAUUCCUUGUCGGGUAAGUUCCGACCUGCACGAAUGGUGUAACGAUCUGAGCACUGUCUCAACGAGGGACCCGGUGAAAUUGUGGUACUGGUAAAGACGCCAGUUACCUGUGGUGGGACGGAAAGACCCCGUGGAGCUUUACUGUAGCCUGAUAUUGGAUUUUGGUCUGUCAUGUACAGGAUAGGUGGGAGGCGUAGAAUGGAGGGCGUCAGCCUUUCAGGAGCCGUUGUUGGGAUACCACCCUUGACAUACCGAAGUUCUAACUGUUGAGUCUGAAUCGGCUGGCAGGACAUUGUCAGGUGGGCAGUUUGACUGGGGCGGUCGCCUCCUAAAGAGUAACGG
rnacentral:rRNA from 1 species